AAUAGGAUAACUUUAAAGAAAGAAGUUGCUUGAGUGAGCAAAGUUGGCAAGCAAAAGAACUUAGCAUUCCAUAGAUCAAACUGUAAAGCCAAAAUAAAAGUAAGUUUGGUCACAAGGUGGGAUCCAUAUCUUGAUACCUACAUUUUUUAUUGUACUCUCAUUAUUAUUUUUGAUGUAUCUUGUUUAUGCUACUUAUUCUAUAUUCCUCUUUUUUCUGUCAAAGUGUAAAGCAUAUUUUUACCGAAACAUUGACUGUUUUUUGUGCAUUUGUGUUGCACUUAUUCUUUUUUUCUCUAUGCUAUUUUUGAUAAGGGGAGAUUAGGACACACAAUGUCGAAUACAUAGGAUUUAGCACAUAUUGGACUUUCUAAAAAUUUAUAGACCAAUGCCUUCAUCCAAACUUUUUCCCUUUCAUCCAAGCACUUUUUGAAUGGUAACUUUUUCCCUUUCAUCCAAGCACUUUUUGAAUGGUGAGACUGAUCUAUAUAAAUUUGCAAAUAGCAAAACCUUAGUAGGAGCAAGUCCACAAAAUACGCAUAAAGGUUUCUAGAGAAAACUAGAAGUAGCAGCUUUAAAUAUUAGUGAUACAUUAUUUUGGGUUAUGGUUGUUGAUUUGUGGAAAAAAUUAUCACGACACUUAAAGAUGCAUGUUUUUUGUCAAACACAAUGUAGUCUCCAUUUAUGGGGUUCAGUACUGAUCAAAAAGCAUGGAAAAUUGUGGCCUAAUAAGCUGCACGUGUUUCUUAUGAUUGUGCAUGAUUUGGAGAAUUCAAAGCUUGACAUAUCAUUCAAACAAAUGACAGGGAAUGUACUGUACGAAGGAAAAACAAAUAGAAAUGUAAGUCGAGGAUCAGAGUAAUGAUGUUGCCCUUCUUUUGUUUCCUACUGUUUAUCCAAUGCAUGUUCAUUAUUACUCUGUACAGAAACAAUUCCAAUUACUAUUUGUACGUCUAUAGUGUUAUGGAACAUACAAUAGUUUGUUGGGGACACCAAAGCAAUUCACAAAUAUAUGUUCUCAAGUAAUUAUGAUGUGCAAUCAUAAGAAGUUAUAAGGAAACAGGUAUAAUAGGUCAAGGAAUAGUCGGGUUAUCAUAACUUGAGCGAUUUUUUGUUUGGCUGCUAACAAAUAAGCACAUGACAAUUAAUUCAAAGCAACCAACGCAAACACGGAUUAAGAGUAAUGCAUCGCACAGAAGAGGCCUGAGGUCACACCUUCCCCUUGGAUAGAGAAUGCCCACGGUGCGUCUCACGUUUGCUCUGCUUCAGCUUCAUCUCCGAGUGCUUCCCCUGAAUGAAGGCAAAAAAAACUCAGAUCAGGUCACCAGACCAGAGAGAUCACCCCGAUAUGGCUUUCUAAAUAAUUUGUUAAAGCCCGUGAAAGUACAGCUGGUACCUCUUCUGAGAUGUCUAGGGUUCAAAAAAGCGGCACUAAGGUAGCGCUAACAAGACGGGUAACCCUACGCUUUGGGCAUAAACAAUCACAGAUCGCUGCGACCACCUUGAAUAAAGAAAAAAGCUACAUUCUUAGUAUCAGCUACAACAAUGAAACCAUCUAAAGAUAUAUAUUGUACAUCAUGUACUCUUGCGGGAAGCAUCAAUCCUCAUUUGUUGCAUCUUUUUCUCCUAAAAAGAACUAAUUGUUGACGAGGUCAGGCUAUUUUACCUUACUAAGCUAGCAGCAAUAGAACCACACGAUUCCAAAAUGACUUUUAUUCCAAUUUUUUUGAAAGAACAACUUGAAAUGAAUAAGAACCAGAU
rnacentral:lncRNA from 1 species